CCCGAGACUCAGUGAAAUUGAACUCGCUGUGAAGAUGCAGUGUACCCGCGGCAAGACGGAAAGACCCCGUGAACCUUUACUAUAGCUUGACACUGAACAUUGAGCCUUGAUGUGUAGGAUAGGUGGGAGGCUUUGAAGUGUGGACGCCAGUCUGCAUGGAGCCGACCUUGAAAUACCACCCUUUAAUGUUUGAUGUUCUAACGUUGACCCGUGAUCCGGGUUGCGGACAGUGUCUGGUGGGUAGUUUGACUGGGGCGGUCUCCUCCUAAAGAGUAACGGAGGAGCACGAAGGUUGGCUAAUCCUGGUCGGACAUCAGGAGGUUAGUGCAAUGGCAUAAGCCAGCUUGACUGCGAGCGUGACGGCGCGAGCAGGUGCGAAAGCAGGUCAUAGUGAUCCGGUGGUUCUGAAUGGAAGGGCCAUCGCUCAACGGAUAAAAGGUACUCCGGGGAUAACAGGCUGAUACCGCCCAAGAGUUCAUAUCGACGGCGGUGUUUGGCACCUCGAUGUCGGCUCAUCACAUCCUGGGGCUGAAGUAGGUCCCAAGGGUAUGGCUGUUCGCCAUUUAAAGUGGUACGCGAGCUGGGUUUAGAACGUCGUGAGACAGUUCGGUCCCUAUCUGCCGUGGGCGCUGGAGAACUGAGGGGGGCUGCUCCUAGUACGAGAGGACCGGAGUGGACGCAUCACUGGUGUUCGGGUUGUCAUGCCAAUGGCACUGCCCGGUAGCUAAAUGCGGAAGAGAUAAGUGCUGAAAGCAUCUAAGCACGAAACUUGCCCCGAGAUGAGUUCUCCCUGA
rnacentral:rRNA from 1 species